ACAUGGCCACCCAUAUGCUCUGGAGCCUGGCUUACGCAGCCUCCUUCUCCAUGCCCCCUCCCCUGCAUUUGGGGCCUGAUUCAGGCAGCUUCUUUUCUUUUCUUCCCUCCCAGCCUGGCUCCUGCAGACCCCCUCUCCUCCUUGCCUCUGGCUGGUUCAUACAUCAGAUGCUUCCCACCAUCCAGGGGAACUGAGCCCAUCCAUGUGUGAUUAAUACAUUGAACUUCCCUGCUGCCCAGAGAGACACCAGAAUCAGGAUCCCAGGAUGAGUCUAAGUGAUAAGAAUACACUCAACCAAAUGCUAUAUCAACCAUAUCAACAGCAAAAUGAUGACACAUCACCAGAUUGACUGAAUUGGCAAGAAGUCUCAGUGCCAUUGAGAGAUCUUGGUAUGAAGUUAGAAUUCUUCCUUCCUCAAGGUCAUGGGACCAAGAAAUCUUGCAGUGACAGUGCUUUAGGGAACCUGGGCCAAGGGCUGGGCCCAGACCAGCUGCCGCCUGUGAUGUCAGCCAUUAUCCAGAAGGAUGCCUACCCUACAGUCAUGACUACCAAGUGUACAGAGCACCUCUCAACAACCCAGCUGUUGUUCCAACAACGAGAAGGCUCAGCUUCUAGAAAAAGACUCCCCUUUGUCCUUCCACUGCUCUGGGGGAAUCUCAAGAGUCAGUUAGUACAGGUUCUCUUCCUCUGGAACAGCAGAGUGUAAGACUUUCAGUCAGAAGACCUGGGUUUGAAUGCCAAACCCGAGGCUGACUGGCUGCUUGACUCAGCUCCUCUGAGCAUGUUUUCUUUAGAGUAAAAUGGGAAA
rnacentral:lncRNA from 1 species